CCUAACGUGGGCGGGGCGACAGAGAGGAGGCCGAGUGACGCGGAGGACGACGGGAAAAGGGCGCCUGCGCUGCGUUUAUGACGUAUUCGACAGCGGCUUUAAGGCAGUCCUGGGAGCCCAAGAUCCAAAGAUCAAUUUCGUGGAGUCCCCACAAUCAAGAACCAGCUGGAAAGAAGCAAAAUAUGAAACUAAUGACCCAUUCUU